AUAACGGUCCUAAGGUAGCGAAAUUCCUUGUCAGGUAAGUUCUGACCCGCACGAAUGGCGUAACGAUUUGGGCACUGUCUCAACAGCCUACCCGGCGAAAUUGUAGUACCGGUGAAGAUGCCGGUUACCCGCAACUAGACGGAAAGACCCCAUGGAGCUUUACUGCAGCUUAAUACUGAGAUUCGGUAAAUCAUGUACAGGAUAGGUGGGAGACUAGGAAGCAUUGGCGUCAGCCAGUGUGGAGUCGCUGGUGGGAUACCACUCUUGAUUUGCUGGGUUUCUAACCUGCGGCCGUGAAUCCGGUCGGGGGACACUGUUAGGCGGGCAGUUUGACUGGGGCGGUCGCCUCCAAAAGAGUAACGGAGGCGCUCAAAGGUUCGCUCAGCAUGGAUGGAAACCAUGCUAUUGAGUGUAAACGCAAAAGCGAGCCUAACUGCGAGACUGACGGGUCGAGCAGUAACGAAAGUUGGAGUUAGUGAUCCGGUGGUAUGUGAGUGGAAAUGCCAUCGCUCAACGGAUAAAAGUUACCCUGGGGAUAACAGGCUGAUCUCCCCCAAGAGUCCACAUCGACGGGGAGGUUUGGCACCUCGAUGUCGGCUCAUCGCAUCCUGGGGCUGUAUUCGGUCCCAAGGGUUUGGCUGUUCGCCAAUUAAAGCGGCACGCGAGCUGGGUUCAGAACGUCGUGAGACAGUUCGGUCCCUAUCUGUUGCGGGCGUAAGAGAUUUGAAGGGAGCUGUCCUUAGUACGAGAGGACCGGGAUGGACGUACCUCUGGUGCACCAGUUGUCCUGCCAAGGGCAUAGCUGGGUAGCUAUGUACGGACGAGAUAAACGCUGAAAGCAUCUAAGCGUGAAACUCCCCCUAAGAUGAGAUCUCUCAUCCUUCAAGGAGUAAGGACCCAGAAAGACGAUCUGGUUGAUAGGCCGAAGGUGGAAGCGCAGUAAUGUGUGCAGCUGAUCGGUACUAAUAGUCCGAGGGCUUGACCUA
rnacentral:rRNA from 1 species